CAGUAGCCACGGUAAUACAGAGGGUGCAAGCGUUAAUCGGAAUUACUGGGCGUAAAGCGCGCGUAGGUGGUUUGUUAAGUUGGAUGUGAAAUCCCCGGGCUCAACCUGGGAACUGCAUCCAAAACUGGCAAGCUAGAGUAUGGUAGAGGGUGGUGGAAUUUCCUGUGUAGCGGUGAAAUGCGUAGAUAUAGGAAGGAACACCAGUGGCGAAGGCGACCACCUGGACUGAUACUGACACUGAGGUGCGAAAGCGUGGGGAGCAAACAGGAUCAGAUACCCCCGUAGUCCCUGUCUCUUAUAC
rnacentral:rRNA from 1 species